AUUGAACGCUGGCGGCAUGCCUUACACAUGCAAGUCGAACGGCAGCACGGGAGCAAUCCUGGUGGCGAGUGGCGAACGGGUGAGUAAUAUAUCGGAACGUGCCCAGUCGUGGGGGAUAACGUAGCGAAAGCUACGCUAAUACCGCAUACGAUCUAUGGAUGAAAGCGGGGGAUCGCAAGACCUCGCGCGAUUGGAGCGGCCGAUAUCAGAUUAGGUAGUUGGUGAGGUAAAGGCUCACCAAGCCGACGAUCUGUAGCUGGUCUGAGAGGACGACCAGCCACACUGGGACUGAGACACGGCCCAGACUCCUACGGGAGGCAGCAGUGGGGGAAUUUUGGACAAUGGGCGCAAGCCUGAUCCAGCAAUGCCGCGUGCAGGAUGAAGGCC
rnacentral:rRNA from 1 species